ensembl:lncRNA
CCCCACCCCCCCCACAGCCCCGCAUCCCCCCACAUCCCCCGUCCCGAUGCCGCAGGCUGCCCCACGUUCCUGGACAUCGUCAUCCUGCUGGACGGCUCCAACAGCAUCUACCCCUGGCACGAGGUGCAGCGCUUCCUGCAGGCGCUGCUGGCGCGCUUCUUUGUGGGGCCGCAGCAGAGCCAGGUGGGACAUGGGGGGGGGGACACGGGGACACCCCCAGUGCCACCUUCCUUUGGGGGUCCGGGGGUCCCCAGGUGGCGGUGCUGCAGUAUGGGGGCCGUUUGGGGGCCAUUUGGGGUCCAUUUGGGAGCCAUUUGGGGUCCAUUUGGGGUCCAUUUGGGAGCCAUUUGGGGGCCAUUUGGGGUCUGUUGGUCCCCAGGUGGUGGUGCUGCAGUAUGGGGUCCAUUUGGGGUCCAUUUGUGGUCCAUGGGUCCCCCAGGUGGCGAUGUUGAAGUAUGAGGUCCAUUUGGGGCCCAAUUGGGGUCCAUUUGUGUCCCCAGGUGGCGGUGCUGCAGUAUGGGGGCCAUUUGGGGUCCAUUUGGGAGCAUUUUGGGGUCCAUUUGGAGUCCAUUUGGGGUCUGUGGGUCCCCAGGUGGUGGUGCUGCAGUAUGGGGUCCAUUUGGGGUCCAUUUGGGGUCCAUUUGGGAGCAUUUUGGGGUCCAUUUGGAGUCCAUUUGGGGGCCAUUUGGAGUCCAUUUGGGGGCCAUUUGGGGUCCAUUUGGGAGCCAUUUGGGGGCCAUUUGUGGUCCAUGGGUCCCCA